GACGAACGCUGGCGGCGUGCUUAACACAUGCAAGUCGAACGGAAAGGCCCUGCUUUUGUGGGGUGCUCGAGUGGCGAACGGGUGAGUAACACGUGAGUAACCUGCCCUUGACUUUGGGAUAACUUCAGGAAACUGGGGCUAAUACCGGAUAGGAGCUCCUGCUGCAUGGUGGGGGUUGGAAAGUUUCGGCGGUUGGGGAUGGACUCGCGGCUUAUCCGCUUGUUUGUGGGGUAGUGGCUUACCCAGGCUUUGACGGGUAGCCGGCCUGAGAGGGUGACCGGCCACAUUGGGACUGAGAUACGGCCCAGACUCCUACGGGAGGCAGCAGGGGGGAAUAUUGCACAAUGGGCGGAAGCCUGAUGCAGCAACGCCGCGUGCGGGAUGACGGCCUUCGGGUUGUAAACCGCUUUCGCCUGUGACGAAGCGUGAGUGACGGUAAUGGGUAAAGAAGCACCGGCUAACUACGUG
rnacentral:rRNA from 1 species